rnacentral:rRNA from 1 species
UACGGGGGGGGCAAGCGUUGUUCGGAAUCACUGGGCGUAAAGGGUGCGUAGGCGGAUCUUUAAGUCAGGGGUGAAAUCCUGGAGCUCAACUCCAGAACUGCCUUUGAUACUGGGGAUCUCGAGUCCGGGAGAGGUGAGUGGAACUGCGAGUGUAGAGGUGAAAUUCGUAGAUAUUCGCAAGAACACCAGUGGCGAAGGCGGCUCACUGGCCCGGUACUGACGCUGAGGUGCGAAAGCGUGGGGAGCAAACAGG